ACCCUCCUAACAGCUAGCCCCCCCCCAAAAACAACAACCCUUAUUAAUAAACCCUCAACAACUACACAAUCAAGAACAAACCAUUUUCCCCCCUAAGUAUGGGAGACAGAAAAG
rnacentral:rRNA from 1 species